AAGUUGUAGAGAUUUGACAGAUUUACAUAAAGUAUACUUUAAUUUUAGAUGAAAUAUUUCGGAAAAUUUUGAUACAAUACUUGAUAUCGCGAUUACUUAACUUAGCUGAACUCUUUCAUGAAGGAGGUAGGAAUCAUCUGUUGGGUGGGAGCAAUGUGCUAUUCAAUACAAUUAAUGCAAGAUCGAUCAUUGUAGCAUUUAUAAGGACAGAUAAGUAAAAAAUCCUGGUGGAAUACCUCGCUAGACAAUCGCUGAACCAGCCUUAUACAUUUUUGAGAGGAGCCAAUCCUAAAUUGUCACAUUUUUAAAGAUAUGUUUAAUUAAGCGGACUCUUAUAGUUAAAUUUUCAUUGAAAAUCGUCACAUUUUUCAGUAUAUAAAAUAUUCUUAACUUUCCUUAUUUGACAAUCUACUAUUUGGAAUUCAAUAUCUGGCAAAACAUCGUGAUUUUGGCAUUAAAUUGUUCGAAUCAUUCGAUUGUCACUAAUGUAAACAAUGUCAUUUGCCCCCAGAAAUUUAGACUUUUCUUGACUCCCUCGCAAAAGAGCGGAGGUAAGUUAGAUAACUGCGAGGUACUCAUUGGUAGUCGCGACAUAACAUAUUGAGAUUUAAUUUUUUCACCUUCAUGUUUGUUGCGCUAUAGGCUUAUCCCUUGUUAUGUUCUCGGACUCCCAUCUCAUUUAUCAUCCAAUAAUAAAAUACAUUUCCAAAGCAUGUGAAUUAUAUUUAGAUGAUAAUUAAAUACAUAUGAUAAACAAUAGAUAAAAAUUGAUAUUUUUGUCCUUUCUACUCUUCAUGCAUAUAACAUGUAUAAAGUCCACAACAAUAAAAUGAUUCAUUUGAUUUUUGUUAGGAUUUGUUCAUCGACAUCCAACAUAUUGUUUACAUGUUUAUGUUACGUUUGUCCCAGAAAUCCUGAAAGAUUUGUACACUCUGCAACUUUUUUACAGAGGAGCGCACUAAAAUCUUAAACUCUUCCAUAGUUGAAAUAAGACGUAUUGGUAAAUAGAUUUUGCCCUGUAGUCCAUCUGGCUGUUUGUCCUCAAAAACUUUAACCUUGCUCAUAACUUUGGAGUGAGUGGGGCUAUGGCUUUCAUAUUUCACUGCUGUACACUUGUAUUUCUUGUGACAAGACCUUUCUUUGGGUACCACCACCACCAAAUUUGACCUCUUGACCUUGAAGUUUGACCACUUUUACAAAAAUAUAUCACUCUUCAACCUUAGUUAUAACUUAUAACUUUUGCACAGUUGGUGUUAGGGCUUUCAUACUUCUCAUUGGUAUGUUCAAUAAUUUUUUUGACAGGUCUGCCCAAGUUUUGUAUUAAAACGCUUCUGAAACUCAUCUGUAAAAAACAUUUAAUAUUGUUGGCCGAUUUAAACAUUUCGGGAAAAUAGCAAAAAAAAUGAAAACGUGAAAAAAAAACUAUGAGGUUCGGAGAGUAAAAUGGAGGAUAGGUCAGGUGACAGGAAACAUGAGUACAGUCAUGUAUAUUUUUUUUGCCCCGGUAUAGUGUCAUAUUUGAUAUUAUAUGGAAUAUGUGAUUUGCAGCACAUUCUUACUGAUAUUUCUUUAAAUUACAGGUAUCCUGAAUUUUUGUCAACUUCUAGCCAAGAUCCUGUACUUAAGCUGAAUGUGGAGGACAGAUGUACACACAGUACUAGUAUAGAGGGUAUUAUCUCGGUACCUUAAAACUCCAAACGACAGGGAGAAGAAGAAAACUGCAUAUUUCCGAUGUAUCUUCACAGCAACAUGACCCAAAGCACUACCAUUAAAGGAUUUGAUUUGACAUUAAGGAAGUAAAAAAAUGAAGGCAUUAGUCAUAAAGAAAAUUAAAGAACUUUAUGUCUGAAUAUUAUAUCAACAAUACCAUAAAUCUAACGAUGGAUUAUUUUGCCUUAUAAUUUAUAUUAAUGCAUGUACAUGUAAUUUUAUUCUUUUUAUAUAUACAAUCAUGUAGUGUUACCAUUUUUCACAAAGCUUAAAAAGUUAUGUAGGGCCACACCAAUUUAAUUUCUUGUUCGUCGGACAUUUGAUUUAAAAAAAGUACAAGCAGUUAAAUGAUAAUAUUAUUACUCUUUGCUGGGCAAUUUUUUAGGCGGAGCGUGAAAAUUUGAGCGGACAAUUAUAUUUUUUCUGAUUUACAGAGUAAGCAGAUAUAAAAUACAAUAAAUAGAGCGGAAAUGGAACAGAAAAUAGCACAGAAUUCCUAUGGUGCGAGAAAUUGAAAUUAAUAUUAUUUGUAUGGUUUUGUUUAAAUAAGCGCGUGGGUCCGACGAACAAAAAUUUUCAUUAGUGUGGCCUAGAUCAUUUAGAUUCAAUUCAUUUUUUUCUUCAAAUUACCACAUGCCAGAAUUCAUAAGAAGGAAAUUUAUAUAUGGCUGGUGGUUGUGGCCAUUUUUAGACUAUAUUGAUCUCCUUUAGAAGGAGAGCUCCUUAUAAAAUUAUACAAAAAAUGACCAAAUUUUAAAACUAAAAUGUACAGAAUUUUUCUUUGCCAAAUGAUAGUUCAUAGAACCACAAUUCUUCAAUCAUGUCUACUUGGAGAUCAGUGGAUGGAUAUUCAUAUACAAUACACAGCUGAAGCAGGUUUUGUUAGGUUAUUUUAUUUUCAAAAGGAAUGCAUUAUUUUCUUCAGUCCAUUAAUGUUAAGCUCUUUAAUAGAAACAAUUGUAGAAGAUUUAUCAUAUUUUGUUUAGAAUUUUGAAGAAUUUGUUAAUCACUCAGUGAAAAUUAUCCCUUGUCAUAAUACAAAUUUUUAAAAUGUAUGUACAAAUACUUUUAUGUUGAAAUGACCAUGCAAGGAAGAAAAUAAAACAAGUUUAAGUGUA